UCCUCCACAGCCCCUGCCAGUGAGUGCUCACAUUACAUCAUGCCCCUUGCGGCUGGGGCUGGUCUGCUGCUGCUGUUGGUGUCUCUGAGCCUUGUCUGGACCCUCUGCCCUUCUACUCUAGGAUUCAAGCCCAGGAUCUCAGCACCCCCAGUUUCACAGGAGCACCAGGGUGGGAUCUUAUACGCUCAUCUGGAUUUUGAUUCGCGGAAUCGCAACGGGCGCACGAUGCAGCGACCGGCCAGAGGGAAAAGUAUAAAACCGUGAACCGUCUAGUGCAGGGGAAUCCACACGUGGGAACUGAUGGCUGGUUCUCUGCUGAUCGGACGUAGCAGCUGGAAGAAGGCUCUGUCUGUCUCCAUCUCCUUUCUUUUUUAUUUUCUCCACUUCUCUGUUUAGAAUAAAAAGCUCAGAAGAUCCCCACAGAGUCCAGCCUCAUCAGGUGGGAAAUCUCCUUUUGGGAUAUAAAGGCAUCACGGUGUAGAUGACUUUACACGUCACGUGUGUACUAGAUUGGAAGCUCUUUGGGGCAGGGACUGUCUCUUUGUUGUGUGU